rnacentral:rRNA from 1 species
CCUACGGGUGGCAGCAGUGAGGAAUAUUGGUCAAUGGGCGGAAGCCUGAACCAGCCAAGUAGCGUGCAGGAUGACGGCCCUACGGGUUGUAAACUGCUUUUAUACGGGAAUAACGCGCCUUACGUGUAGGGCUUUGCAUGUACCGUAUGAAUAAGGACCGGCGAAUUCCGUGCCAGCAGCCGCGGUAAUACGGAAGGUCCGGGCGUUAUCCGGAUUUGUUGGGUUUAAAGGGAGCGUAGGCGGCAUGUCAAGCGUGCUGUGAAAUGUCCGGGCUGAACCCGGGCCUUGCAGCGCGAACUGGGGUGCUUGAGUGCGCGGAAGGCAGGCGGAAUUCGUGGUGUAGCGGUGAAAUGCUUAGAUAUGACGAAGAACCCCGAUUGCGAAGGCAGCUUGCUGCAGUGGAACUGACGCUGAUGCUCGAAAGCGCGGGGAUCGAACAGGAUUAGAUACCCCUGUAGUC